UACAGAGGGGGCAAGCGUUAUUCGGAAUUAUUGGGCGUAAAGGGCGCGUAGGCGGCUUUUCAAGUGACGGGUGAAAUCCCUCGGCUUAACCGAGGAACUGCCUGUCAGACUGGAAGGCUUGAGACCGGGAGAGGUGAGUGGAAUUCCCAGUGUAGCGGUGAAAUGCGUAGAUAUUGGGAGGAACACCAGUGGCGAAGGCGGCUCACUGGACCGGAACUGACG
rnacentral:rRNA from 1 species